ncrna:unclassified sequences c4-2 RNA
UACUCCGAAUACGGGUGGAUAAGCCUAAAGGCCUCCAGCGCUUCUGUUCCGCGUGGUUUGCCCUACGGUUCGGAGUUUU